rnacentral:lncRNA from 1 species
GUAACAGUACCUCAGAGCUCUUGCUAAGCCAAUAGAUGACAUCUGUACUGAUGAUAUUUCCCAGCUUUCCUUGCAACUCUGGGUGCCAUGGACUAAUUUGGGGCCAACUGGAUCUGAGAAGUGAUGUGUGUAACUUCUGAGUCAUCUUUUUAAAGACAUUUACUUUUUUCCUGCCAACUGGGAAAUGGUAACAACUGGAGCAACCUUGGAGACCAUACCGUGAGAUGGGAGAGCUGCCCUGACAUGAGAGAGAAAUACAAUUCUAUUCUGAAUUAAGUGCUAUGUUUGGUUAGAGUCGCUUGGCUUGUAGCUCAGCUAAUUCACAGAAGGAGCUGUGUGGGUUUGUAGGGAGGCACUUUUCUAGCAAGGGUAAUAGUGUCAGCAGAGACUGUAAAGUAGGAACUUACCAGGAAUGUUAGAGGAACAGCAAAGAGGUCACUGGCGUUGGAGUGGAGCAGUAGGAGAUGAAAUUAGGAAAGUGUCAGAGGAGAGAUCAUGUAGUCCGUGGGCACCUUCCCUGCGGCUUGGGGUUUUAUUCUUGUGAGCUGUGGAUGUACGGCUGGAGCAAAGGAAUGACAUGAUGUGACUCUGGUUUUCAAAAGAUCAUCCUCACUGUUAUGAAUAGAGCAUGGAAGCAGGGUGGAAAUGUGGAGAGACUAGUUUAGAGGUUAUCACAGUAUCCCAGCAAGAGAGCACAGUGGCUUGAAGUAGGGUGCCAAUGGUGGUGCACUUACAGCGUUUUUCUCAAGUGUGCUAUUUCCCAUGUACUGAUGAAUUGCAAAUGAGAGAAAGAAGUGCGGGUGAUAAGUAUAGAAGGAAUUGACAUGGGAAUUAGAAGAUCAUAUGAGGAGGUCUGGGAGUGGAGGAGUUAAGUGACUUACGUUUUCUUUGCUCACAAGCUUUGUAUGACCACCUUCUGUUUACGUAAUUGUAAUUAAGCUUAUCUCAGCCUCUAUCAAUCAGACUCUACAGCAUGAACUCUGCCACCUGUCUUUCCUCUAUUUGACCUCUGCUCUGUCUUCCUGUCUUUAGUCUAAGUCUAAUUCAGCCCAUUCAUCCAUUUGGGGAGACGUUCAGUGUCAGCAGAAGAUAGUGAUCUCUGAGUGACAUACCUCAAUUACCUUCUUUCUCAAAAGCACUUAGGGAAAGAGAAAAUGAGAACAGGGAUAAGGACUCAAUGUUGGAGAUAUGCACUGUAAUUGGAGAAGGGAUGGGAGGUUGAAAUGCUGAGGAAAGUCAGGAGGGAGGAGAAAGCCCAAGGCUGGGACUGUGGGGAAAAGUGAAAGUUGUGCAGAGGGAGACGGGGCAGGUAUGAAUGGACCAGAGGUGAGGGGAAAUGAUGACAGUCCAUGCUAGGGACCAGCAAACAGGAGGAAUGACCUUGCUUCUCCUUUUGUAAUGGAGCAGAUAAUACGUGCCCUGUAAAUCACUGGGAUCAAGUAAUCUUGAGGAAGUGGUCCCAAGAGAAUUGUCACACUUUCAAGAUCUGAUUAUAAAUUAGGUAUGAGCCCAGUUGUUCCUAUAGGAAACACGGCAAUGUUAGCACCAUCCUCUGUCCAAGGGUGUACAAAUGACUUAAUGUGAGAAACCCUUCUUCAUUUCCAGGGGAAAAUUAUCCAUGGCCAUUUCAAGCCAUCUAGGGAAACCCAAACCCAAACUCCAGGGAUGACUUUGUUUUGUCAUUUGAUAAGAGAACGUUCCCAGAAUGGGCAGUCAUUGAAAGUGGAACAGGAUAACCUUAAAGCUGCUUUAGAGACUGGAAAAUAUUCAGCAUUAUGAAGCAAACAUGGAGGGACACAUGUUUUAAAUCAGUGAUUAACACGUUAAAUACAUGUUUAUGCAAGGGGCGCCUUCUUCUUCUUUUUUUAAAUUUAUUUUUUUGUUAUUCAAUGAAUUUAUUACAUGUACAAUGAACAUCACAUAAUCACCAUUUCCCUUUAUGAUUUGUAGCUAACAAUAAAUUUUUUUUUUUUUUUUUUUGUCUUUUUGCCUUUUCUAGGGCCGCUUCCGGCGGCAUAUGGAAGUUCCUAGUCUAGGGGUCCAAUCGGAGCUGUAGCCGCUGGCCUACGCCACAGCCACUGCAACAUGGGAUCCGAGCCGUGUCUGCAACCUACACCACCACUCACAGCAACACCGGAUCCCCAACCCACUGAGCAAGGCCAGGGAUCAAACCCACAACCCCAUGGUUCCUAGUCGGAUUCGCUAACCACUGCGCCAUGAUGGGAACUCCAAGCUAACAAUAAAAUUUAACAUGAAAAUGAGAAUGACUAGAAUAUUAGCAUUAUUUACAUAUAAGUUUCUGUUUGAGCAAGCAGGCCUCUAGGUUAUAGGAAAUAUGGUCAAAAUGUAUAUAUUUUAAAAGCAACUCUUGUACUCUGUUGGUAGGGCUGUAAAAUGGUGUGGCCACUCUGAAAAAUAUUGUGACAGUUUCUCAAAAAAUAACAAAAUAAUUACCACAUGAGCCAGUAAUUCCAUUUUGGGGUAUAUACCUAAAGUAAUGGAAAAAUAGGGACCCCAAAUCUGUUUAUACACCCAUGCUCUUAGCAGCACUAUUCAUAAUAGCCAAGUGGUAGAGGCAACCAAGUGUCCAUUGACAGAUAAAUGGAUAAACACAAUGUGGGAUAUACAUACAGUGAGCUUAAAAAGAAAGGAAAUCCUGACACAUGCUAAAACACAGAUGAACAUGGAGGAUAUUAUGCUGCAUGAAAUAAGCCAGUCACUCAAACAUGAAGACCACUUAUACGAGGUACAUAGAGUAGUUGAAUUCACAGAGACAGAGAGUCGAAGGGUGGUUGCUGGAGUGGGGUGGGGAAAGAAGAGUUUAUUGUUUAAUGAGUACGGAGUUUCAGUUUUGCAAGAUUAGAAAGUUCUAGAGGUGGGUGGUUGCACAACAAUGUGAAUGAGUUUAAUGCCACUGAACCAUACACUUCAAAAUGGUUAAGAUGGAACUUUAUGUCAUGUGUCUUUGACCACAAUGAAAACUAAUUUUCAAAAAUAGAUAAAAACAAACAAAAUACAACAGGAAGAAAUUUUAAAACUUCUGGGCUUCGUAAAAUCAGCAGCCAUUUAUUUUGUCUUCGGUUUGAGGCAUCUCAUUUUGUGUUUUGCUCAGAGAGUAAUUCCCUAAUGUGAUGCUUACACAUUCCCCACUGUCCAAA